ensembl:lncRNA novel transcript
GUCUCGCUUCGCGGCCACCUCUUCCCCAACGCUACCCGCUCCGUACCCUGACUCGCUGCUCCUCUGUGCUGGCAGAGAGCGCGCAGAACGUAGCUGGACCCAAGGGUUUAUUUACCACAUUGGCUGGUGUGUCCAUCUGCUGUGCAACCACAUUUAUCUCCGGUGAGAUAAACCCCAUUUAUCUCCUAGCAAGUCCCUGGCGCACAGUGAGCUCUGAUAAAAAGCAGCCCAUCUACCUCCUCCAACCAGACCCAACUAGCCCAGAUGCUUAAUUCUCCAUGACUUGUAACACCUCAAUACCUUUGUAUUUGCUGUUCCAUCUACCUGGAGAGCCUUUCCAGGGAGCUAGAGGAGGGAGAGAUUCCUAUGAACUGAAAAGGGAGGAUACUGGGAUGAGGAUGCUUGUAAUGUGGUGCACACUGAUUACCAGAGCACAGCUGAGAUACUGUUGGGUCCUGUCUCCUCCCAAAGCACACAUCACAUCCCAGGGUGCACACCAGUAAAUGAUCAGAUUCUGGACAUGGGGAGCCAAGGACAGGGGAAGGCAGAGAGAGGAGCAGAAUUGCAACCACUGUCGUCAUGAAGGAAGCUAGGUGAGAGAGCUGGCACAAGGUGGCAACAUUUGCAUGAAGAGGACAAACAACUGGAAAUACCACCAGGGGGCGUGUGUAGCUGUAACACACCAGUCAUGCUCUUUCCCUACAGUUACCAGGCGGGGUUUGGUCACUAUGCAUAACCUGAGAAAGAUAGACAAACAGCAGACAGAUAGAUAGGUUGGGGGUGCUUAGAUAGACAAAUAUCACCAGCCUCCUAAGCUCAUCCUGGUGUUGUGAUUGGCCACACCAAAACGUAACAUCUCCAGUCUAUCUGAUAUCAUUGAACAGGUCUCCUCUAAGGCAAGGAGUUGGAUUCCCCUAGAACACCUGCCAAAGUGCAGUGGAAGGGAAGGAGGUCUUGCCUGGGGGCAGUGGUCACUGGGCCUGGGUUUCUGUGCUGAUUCUGCCCUUAGCAACCUGGGUGACCUAGGGCAGGUCACUUAACAUUUCUGCGCUACACUUUUCUGACUUGUAAAAUCACAUGCUUGGGUGGCAGAUGCAGACUGUUAGUAAUUUUUAAACUUUAGAGAUCACGGAGGAGAAAACUGAGAUCCAAAGAAGUUAAAUUACUUGUCCAAAGCCACUUGAUGUGGGAGUGGAAUGACCGAGAGGAUGUGGAUUCUGGAACCAGAGCCAGUUCCACAUGAUGGUUCCAGCACACCCCUCACACUGCCCUCUGGUGAUCUACUGUCUCCUCAUCUCUUCCUCCUCUGCAGAAUGGAGGAAUAGCAGCACCUACCUCCCAAGGUUUUGGAAGAAUAAAUGAGUACCUGACACAAGGAAAGCCUCCAAUAUAUGUUAGACUAGGCCUAUUUUUAGUGAUGAACCAGAGGCUCAUACCCACAAAUCUUUUCUUCCAGUCUUUCUGUGAGGCCACAUGCCCUGAUGAAGGUCCUUUUCAGCUCCCAAAUUCUAUGAUUCUAAGUCAGAAAGAUUAAGAUGCAAGUUAUUUCCAAAACCCUCCAGGCAGAAACACAAAAGACUAUUUGAGAGAUUCAUUAUUCACUCUCUAUUGCCUCAGUCACUUUCUAUGGAUGAUGAUUCAUGGAGAAUAAUCAACAGCAGAGAAGAUCUGUUCAAUGCUAGGAGAGAAGGCAGUAAAGCCGAAACUCCUUCGCGUGUUCAGUUCCUAUUCUCCAGUAUGCAUCUUCACUUGUUAAGCGGCGGCAGCAUUUCUUGGCCUCGCUGCCUUUCUUCUCUGGGAAUUUGAGGUCUUCUCUUGGUAUAGACUGUUGCUAGUGCAGUCACUGCCCACCCGGCACCACUCCUCAAAAUGCCAGGGAGAAGGUCCUGCCUCUCUGGCCAAGCAAAAGCCCGCACAGAAGCAGCUGUCACCAGUGGCACUGGCUCUUCUCAGGGUGUCCAGGCUGAAAUGUUUAGCAUGCCCAAGGUUGAUGUCUAAUCACAGCUACGAGAAUUCUCUGGCUCCUGAAAAACAACAGAAGAGACUUAAGAGCCAGUCUGGUGGAAGCAAACAUGCAGACAGCCAAACCUGAGAUGUGACCUCUUUUUCUCCUCACCCCAUGGUCUCAGGAGGAGAAGCAGGUGGCUUUUCUUUCCCUCUUGCUAAUAUGUCUCUCCCUGGCAAGCUGCCAACCACUGGUCCUUGCUUACAGCUAGCUAGUGGAGAUGGCCAAGUGGUAUGUGAUAAAAUGAGCCUUUGCUCUGAGUUCCAGGCCAUGGUAAGGUUACAGGGCAGCCAGCACUGGGCCUCUGGAGUAUCAGAUGUUACAGAAUGUCCCAGGAGAGUCCUGGGUAUGAGCCAUUUUCUUUCCUGGUACAGUUUGCAUCCACCAUCAUUAGUUUGCACAAAUACCAUAUUUCCCUUAGGUGUGCCCUGGCAUUCUUCACGUGUUCUUCGUAGUUCAAAAAUAUUUGCUUUUCCUGGCCCAACACGGUGGCUCACGCCUGUAAUCCCAGCACUUCGGGAGGCUGAGGUGAGCAGAUUGCUUGAGCUCAGGAGUUCAAGACCAACCUGGGCAACAUGGCAAAACCCUGUCUCCACAAAAAAAACCAUAUAUAUAUAUACUGGGCAUGGUGGCAUGUGCCUGUAGUCCCAGCUGCUUUGGCGGCUUAGGUGGGAGGAUCACCUGAGCCAAGGGAGCUCAAGGGUGCAGUGAGCCGUGAUCACACCACUGCACUCCACCUGGUUGACAGAGUGAGACCCUGUCUCAAAAAAAAAAAAAAAA